GCCGGGCACAGUGCCGUAUGCCUAUAGUCCCAGCACUUUGGGAGGCUGAGACAGGAGGAUUGCUUGAGCCCAGGAAUUCAAGACUAGCCUGGGCAACAUAGCAAGACCCCGUCUCUA
ensembl:misc_RNA Metazoa_SRP Metazoan signal recognition particle RNA